GAGACCUCUUGUCAGGCGGGACUACCCGCUGAGUUUAAGCA
rnacentral:rRNA from 1 species